CCCUUAGAUGUUCUGGGCAGCACGCGCGCUACAAUGGUCUUCGCAAACGGAUGCAUUCUCGAAGGAGAAUGCCAAUCUUGGAAUCUAUGCCUUGGUCGGGACAGUUGCUUGCAAUUUUUCGACUCGAACCAGGAAUUCCUUGUAAUCGUGAUUCUUCACAUCACGAUGAAUACGUCCCUGCCCUUUGUACACACCGCCCGUCGCUCCUACCGAUCGAAGAGUUAGGUGAAUUGUUUUGAUCGAUAAGAUUUGACUAUGGUCAACUCUCGUUGUGAAAUUCUGUGAAUCUGACUGUUUAGAGGAAGGAAAAGUCGUAACA
rnacentral:rRNA from 1 species